CUGGGUAACCUGCCCAAGAGAUCGGGAUAACACCUGGAAACAGAUGCUAAUACCGGAUAACAACAGAUGAUGCCUAUCAACUGUUUAAAAGAUGGUUCUGCUAUCACUCUUGGAUGGACCUGCGGUGCAUUAGCUAGUUGGUAGGGUAACGGCCUACCAAGGCGAUGAUGCAUAGCCGAGUUGAGAGACUGAUCGGCCACAUUGGGACUGAGACACGGCCCAACUCCGUACGGGAGGCAGCAGGC
rnacentral:rRNA from 1 species